AGCAGCUGUGAAUUUGGAUACUGAAUUGAAUCUCAGUAACCCACUCCUUCCCACUCUUAGCCUCUCCUGAGUAUGUGUUGGGACCUGCAGUGUGCCAGGCCCCUGAUAGAGCAGAGGUCCUGGGGAUCCAGCCGAGAACAGGACAGACACAGCACCUUUCCUCUUGGCACAGGCAGCUCGACGGGGAGACAGCCAGCAGUAAUCCCACAGACGGCCAGCCAUCUACGAGUGAUUGUUAACAUGAGCCAGGAAACACACAGGAUUGUGCAAAGGAGGACCCACGUUGGCUUCCCUGGGCACACCAGUCUUCCUGUGGCGGCCUGGACAGCAACUUUUUCACUCUGAUUCUGAAAGAACACAGCAAAGCUCCCUGGCUGCCAAUCAUUUGCGCUACUGGAAGCUGAGAAGAAAAUGCUCAUCAAGAAAAAAAUAGGGCAAGAGGAAAGAGUUUACUUCUGCUCCGCCAUCCUUCUAUCUAUCCACGAAACAACUAAUUUUACCAGUAUUGACAUCGCUGUCCACUCAGUGGGCAUUUAUAUCAUACAAAGCACAUGGCAUUUUUGUCUGUAAACAGUAGCCUUUGUGAAAUUUACAACUACGCUGACGGAAACCCCGUGUGAGCCUAUACCCAUUUCACAAAUGAAUAAACAAGGUUCCAAAGAUUAGGCGACAAAUCAGGGCUCCUAGAUUUGGGGAUUUCACAUAUCAGUAAAAAAAAAAAAUGUAAUAGUGAGACAGGCAGAUUUAUUUUGUCCAUUGACAUUUUUAAAUACCACCUACUAUCACCAUUAUUUAAAAACAAAAGAAAAAGGAUACCUUAACAACAACAACAAAAAGAAAAUAAAGACCCUUAUCUCAAAAUAAAGUCCUUAAAAUUGAAUAA
rnacentral:lncRNA from 1 species